rnacentral:rRNA from 1 species
AGCGAACGCUGGCGGCAGGCCUAACACAUGCAAGUCGAGCGGCCGUAGCAAUACGGCAGCGGCAGACGGGAGAGUAACACGUGGGAACGCGCCCUUCGGUUCGGGAUAACCCAGGGAAACUUGGGCUAAUACCGGAUACGCCCUUACGGGGAAAGAUUUGUUGCCGAAGGAACGGCCCGCGUCCGAUUAGCUAGUUGGUGAGGUAAUGGCUCACCAAGGCGACGAUCGGAAGCUGGUCUGAGAGGAUGACCAGCCUCACUGGGACUGAUACACGGACACGACUCUAACGGGAGGCAGCGAUGGGGGUUAUUGAACAAUGGGCGCAAGCCUGCUCCAGCCAUGCCGCGUGAGUGAUGAAGGCCCUAGGGUUGUAAAGCCCUAUCGGCGGGGAAGAUAAUGACGGUACCCGCAGAAGAAGCCCCGGCUAACUGCGUGCCAGCCGCCGCCGUAAGAC